rnacentral:tRNA from 1 species
GGCGAGAUGGCUCAACUGGCUAGAGCAUCCGGUUCAUACCCGGAAGGUUGAGGGUUCAAGUCCCCCUCUCGCUA